UGAACUUGCGAUACAUAUAUAUAUAGAUGCGAGUACACCGGACUGUGAAAUUUUGGAA
rnacentral:sRNA from 1 species